AGCCAUAACAAAGAAGAAGAAUAGACUUUCUUCUUCAUAAUUUCUCUCUCUACUCAUUUUUACUUCAAUCUUCCACCAUUAUUUUUUGUUUUCUUGUAAAAUCAUCCUUCAGAAAUCAUAAUAGAGCCAAGAUUCUCCACCAAACUUAUCACCCACACAUUUAGGGUUUGGGUUUGGGUUUUAGCAUGUGAAGGUUGAACUUGAGAGAGA
rnacentral:lncRNA from 1 species